rnacentral:rRNA from 1 species
CACGUAGGGGGCGAGCGUUGUCCGGAUUUAUUGGGCGUAAAGGGCUCGUAGGCGGCUCAGUAAGUCGGGUGUGAAACCUCCAGGCUCAACCUGGAGACGCCACUCGAUACUGCUGUGGCUAGAGUCCGGUAGGGGAGCAUGGAAUUCCUGGUGUAGCGGUGAAAUGCGCAGAUAUCAGGAGGAACACCAAUAGCGAAGGCAGCUCGCUGGGACGUUACUGACACUGAGGCGCGAAAGCGUGGGGAGCGAACAGG